AUUGAACGCUGGCGGCAGGCCUAACACAUGCAAGUCGAGCGGCAGCGGGAAGUAGCUUGCUACUUUGCCGGCGAGCGGCGGACGGGUGAGUAAUGUCUGGGGAUCUGCCUGAUGGAGGGGGAAAACUACUGGAAACGGUAGCUAAUACCGCAUAACGUCGCAAGACCAAAGCGGGGGACCUUCGGGCCUCGCGCCAUCAGAUGAACCCAGAUGGGAUUAGCUAGUAGGUGGGGUAAUGGCUCACCUAGGCGACGAUCCCUAGCUGGUCUGAGAGGAUGACCAGCCACACUGGAACUGAGACACGGUCCAGACUCCUACGGGAGGCAGCAGUGGGGAAUAUUGCACAAUGGGCGCAAGCCUGAUGCAGCCAUGCCGCGUGUAUGAAGAAGGCCUUCGGGUUGUAAAGUACUUUCAGCGAGGAGGAAGGCAGUAAGGUUAAUAACCUUGCUGAUUGACGUUACUCGCAGAAGAAGCACCGGCUAACUCCGUG
rnacentral:rRNA from 1 species